AGCGCAGGCGGAUAGGUCAGUCUAAAGUGGAAUCCCGGGGCUCAACCUCGGAACUGCUUCGAAUACUGCCUGUCUUGAGUUCGUGAGAGGAAAGCGGAAUUCAGGGUGUAGCGGUGAAAUGCUUAGAUAUCCUGAGGAACACCAAUGGCGAAGGCAGCUUUCUGGCGUGAUACUGACGCUGAGGCUCGAAAGCGUGGGGAGCGAACG
rnacentral:rRNA from 1 species